GCAAAGCAGGUCAGUGUGAGAAAAAGUGCCAAAGAGAUUUACUGAAACCAACACAGAAAUGGCCCUUUUUAGAUCCUUCCUUUAGUCGCUUCUGAUCCUUUUCUGAGAAGGAGAACACUGAAGACUCCUUGAAGACUGUUUCUGAGGAAUUACUCCUAACAGGAGAAAACUAAGUGCCUUCAUCAUUCUGAUCUGUAAAUGAAGAUGUCCUACUUCUGUUGCCCGUUGGUGGAGGUGAUUUGGAAAGGACCUACACAGAGAUCAGAUAAUAAUCUUCAACAAGUAUCAGUCCAAGACACCUGUAAUUGCAAUAGCAUUUUUUUCUGUCAGCAAUUAGAAACAGAUGUGUUCCUCAGCCUGUGAGGGGCAGAGUGCAGCUAUUCUCAAU